rnacentral:rRNA from 1 species
CAGCCGCACGGUAAUACGAAGGGUGCAAGCGUUAAUCGGAAUUACUGGGCGUAAAGCGCGCGUAGGUGGUUUGGUAAGAUGGAUGUGAAAUCCCCGGGCUCAACCUGGGAACUGCAUCCAUAACUGCCUGACUAGAGUACGGUAGAGGGUGGUGGAAUUUCCUGUGUAGCGGUGAAAUGCGUAGAUAUAGGAAGGAACACCAGUGGCGAAGGCGACCACCUGGACUGAUACUGACACUGAGGUGCGAAAGCGUGGGGAGCAAACAGGAUUAGAUACCCCAGUAGUCCCUGUCUCUUAUACA